UACGUAGGGCGCAAGCGUUGUCCGGAAUUAUUGGGCGUAAAGAGCUCGUAGGCGGUCUGUCACGUCGGCUGUGAAAACCUGGGGCUCAACUCCGGGCCUGCAGCCGAUACGGGCAGACUAGAGUUCGGCAGGGGAGACUGGAAUUCCUGGUGUAGCGGUGAAAUGCGCAGAUAUCAGGAGGAACACCGGUGGCGAAGGCGGGUCUCUGGGCCGAAACUGACGCUGAGGAGCGAAAGCGUGGGGAGCAAACAGG
rnacentral:rRNA from 1 species